AAAAUCUGAGACACUAUCAUAACUUAACAAUGCUAUUUUUAAAGCCAUCACACAGUAUAUAGACAAAAUCAACCAAAAAAGAACCAAUACAUUUUUGUACUUCCUGCAGCAAUGUUAUAGUAUUUGGGUCUUGUCAAACUUUUAAUUUUUUUACCAAAAUAACACAGAGAGAAGUUUCAACACACAAUAAUGCCGAGACAGUUUUUUUUUUUGCUAAUG